rnacentral:rRNA from 1 species
UACGUAGGGUGCAAGCGUUAAUCGGAAUUACUGGGCGUAAAGCGUGCGCAGGCGGUGAUGUAAGAUAGAGGUGAAAUUUUUGGGCUCAAUUUGGGAACUGCCUUUGUGACUGUAUCGCUAGAGUACGGUAGAGGGGGAUGGAAUUCCGCGUGUAGCAGUGAAAUGCGUAGAUAUGCGGAGGAACACCGAUGGCGAAGGCAAUCCCCUGGACCUGUACUGACGCUCAUGCACGAAAGCGUGGGGAGCAAACAGG